AGAGUUUGAUCCUGGCUCAGGAUGAACGCUAGCGACAGGCUUAACACAUGCAAGUCGAGGGGCAGCAUAAGGUAGCAAUACCUUGAUGGCGACCGGCGCACGGGUGAGUAACACGUGUGCAACCAACCCCGUACCGGGAGAUAACCCGCGGAAACGUGGACUAACACCCCAUGAUACUUCAAGUCCGCAUGGUCUUGAUUUUAAAAGUUAAUGGUACGGGACGGGCACGCGCGACAUUAGGUAGUUGGCGGGGUAACGGCCCACCAAGCCGACGAUGUCUAGGGGUUCCGAGAGGAAGGUCCCCCACACUGGAACUGAGACACGGUCCAGACUCCUACGGGAGGCAGCAGUGAGGAAUAUUGGUCAAUGGGCGAGAGCCUGAACCAGCCAAGUCGCGUGAGGGAAGAAUGGUCUAUGGCCUGUAAACCUCUUUUGUCAGGGAAGAAUAAGUGCCACGUGUGGCAUGAUGCCAGUACUUGACGAAUAAGCAUCGGCUAACUCCGUGCCAGCAGCCGCGGUAACACGGGGGAUGCGAGCGUUAUCCGGAUUUAUUGGGUUUAAAGGGCGCGUAGGCGGGAUGCCAAGUCAGCGGUAAAAGACUGCAGCUAAACUGUAGCACGCCGUUGAAACUGGUAACCUCGAGACGAGUCGAGGAUGGCGGAACAAGUGAAGUAGCGGUGAAAUGCUUAGAUAUCACUUGGAACCCCGAUAGCGAAGGCAGCUGUCCAGACUCGAUCUGACGCUGAUGCGCGAGAGCGUGGGUAGCGAACAGGAUUAGAUACCCUGGUAGUCCACGCCGUAAACGAUGCUCACUGGAUCUUGGCGAUACACUGUCAGGGUUCAAGCGAAAGUAUUAAGUGAGCCACCUGGGGAGUACGUCGGCAACGAUGAAACUCAAAGGAAUUGACGGGGGCCCGCACAAGCGGAGGAACAUGUG
rnacentral:rRNA from 1 species